UUUGCUUGGCACUAUGUACCUAUGUUUAAUUUCUUAUUAUCUCCACAGAUACACCUGAAGGACUCUGAAAUGGCUGACAAUAUGCGCCAUGUUCCAAGAAAUUCAAUGAUGUAUGGUGGAUGGAACUGGACUCGCAUCCUCUUCAAAUCAAACGGAUGAUCUCGAAGAUGUAAAGGGCAUUUUUACUCAACUUAAAAUAAGCCUGUCAGAGCCUGAUCCGGCGGCUUCAAAUGUUUUCACCUUCAGUGAGGUUAACUGCUGGCGACCAGCAAGCAGCAGGAAGUUAGUCUGCUGCAACUUCUCUUCCGAUGGCAAGAUCUUGGCAAGUGCUGG